rnacentral:rRNA from 1 species
GUGGGGAAUAUUGGGCAAUGGGGGCAACCCUGACCCAGCGACGCCGCGUGAGGGAAGACGGCCUUCGGGUUGUAAACCUCUUUUGUACGGGAAGAAGGAAGUGACGGUACUGUACGAAUAAGUCCCGGCUAACUACGUGCCAGCAGCCGCGGUAAUACGUAGGGGACGAGCGUUGUCCGGAAUUACUGGGCGUAAAGGGCGCGCAGGCUGUGCUGCAAGUCAGCUGUGAAAUGUCUGGGCUUAACCCGGGCAUGCGGUUGAGACUGCAGUGCUGGAGUGCUGUAGAGGCAAGUGGAAUUCCCAGUGUAGCGGUGAAAUGCGUAGAUAUUGGGAAGAACACCGGUGGCGAAGGCGACUUGCUGGGCAGCAACUGACGCUGAGGCGCGAAAGCCAGGGGAGCAAACGGGAUUAGAUACCCCAGUAGUCC